CACGGGGGGAGCAAGCGUUGUUCGGAUUCAUUGGGCGUAAAGGGCUCGUAGGUGGCUUUGUAAGUCGGAGGUGAAAUCCCACGGCUCAACCGUGGACACGCCUUCGAAACUGUGAAGCUUGAGGCUGGGAGAGGAGAUCGGAAUUCCUGGUGUAGCGGUGAAAUGCGUAGAUAUCAGGAGGAACACCGGUGGCGAAGGCGGAUCUCUGGGCCGAUACUGACGCUGAGGAGCGAAAGCGUGGGGAGCGAACAGG
rnacentral:rRNA from 1 species